CUAUGGGGCUCUAUGGGUCUAUGGAGUGGCUGUGCAGCUCUAUAAGGCACUGUAGGGCUCUAUAGCGUUGCUAUGGGGCUCUAUGGGGUGGCUUUGGGGCGCUAUGGGGUGCCUAUGGGGCUCUACGGGGUCUAUGGAGUGGCUGUGCGGCUCUAUAAGGCACUGUAGGGCUCUAUAGCGUUGCUAUCGGGCUCUAUGGGGUGGCUUUGGGGCGCUGUAGGGUGCCUAUGGGGCUCUAUGGGGUCUAUGGAGUGGCUGUGCAGCACUAUAAGGCACUACAGGGCUCUAUGACGUGCCUAUGGGGCUCUACGGGGUCUAUGGAGUGGCUAUGAGGCUCUAUGAGGUAGUUAUGAGGCUGUAUGGGGUCCUAUGGGGCUCUAUGGGGUGACUAUGGGGCUCUAUGGGGUCUAUGGAGUGGCUGUGUGGCUCUAUAAGGCACCAUAGGGCUCUAUAAGGUUUUAUGAGGCUCUAUGGGGCUCUACGGGACCAUGGCACUCUAUGGGGUGGUUAUGGGGCUCUAUGGGGGCGCUAUGGGGUGGUUAUGGGGCGCUGUGGGGUGCCUAUGGGGCUCUAUGGGGUGCCUAUGGGGCUCUAUGGGGUCUAUGGAGUGGCUGUGCAGCACUAUAAGGCACUACAGGGCUCUGUGGGGUGGCUAUGGGGCUCUAUGGGGCUCUAUGCAUUGGUUAUAGGGCUCUAUGGCCCUAUGGGGCGGCUAUGGGGCUCUAUGGGGUGCCUAUGGGGCUCUAUGAGGGGUCUAUGGGGGGGUUAUGGGGCUCUAUGGGGUCUAUGGCAUGCCUAUGGAACUCUAUGGGGUCUAUGGAGUGGCUGUGCGGCUCUAUAAGGCAAUGCAGGGUUCUGUGGGGUUGCUAUGGGGUGGCUAUGGGGCUCUAUGGGGGCACUAUGGGGUGGUUAUGGGGCGCUGUGGUGUGCCUAUGGGGCUCUAUGGGGUGCCUAUGGGGCUCUAUGGGGUCUAUGGAGUGGCUAUGUGGCUCUAUGGGGUGGUUAUGAGGCUGUAUGGGGGCCCUAUGGGGCUCAAUGGGACUAUGGCGCUCUAUGGGGUGGCUUUGGGGCUCUAUGGGGCCCUAUGGGGUGGUAAUGGGGCUUUUCGGGUGCGUGGCCUACACUCUUUGGGGGGCGUGGCCUACACUCUUGGAGGCGUGGCCAGUUAAGUCUGGGGGCGUGGCCAAUGAACCUUGAGUGGGCGGGGCCAACCGAGCCUGGGGGCGUGGCCGUAUGCCCUUCGGGGGGGCGUGGCCUACAAUCUUGGAGGCGUGGCCAGCUAAGUCUGGGGGCGUGGCCAAUGAACCUUGAGUAGGCGGGGCCAACCGAGCCAGGGGGCGUGGCCGUAUGCCCCUCGGUGGGCGUGGCCUACAAUCUUGGAGGCGUGGCCAAUGAACCUUGAGUGGGCAUGGCCAACCAAGCCUGGGGGUGUGGCCGUAUGCCCUUGGGGGAGGGGGCGUGGCCUACACUCUUGGGGGCGUGGCCAACCGGGUUUGGGGGUGUGGCCAGCUAAGCCUGGGGGCGUGACCGAUGAACCUAGAGUGGGCGUGGCCAACCGAGCCUGGAGGCGUGGCCAACCGUGUUUGGGGGCGUGGCCAAGCCUUGGAACCCCGUCCAGCAGCAGGCGAGGCGCUAACGAAGCGGCGCAAUUAAGCAGGCGUUAAUGAAGGCGGUACCUGGAGGACGGGCGGGUCGGGGCGCAGGGCCGGGCUGGGGCAGCGCAGGCGUUGCCAGGAGGGGGGGGGGGCGGCGCUGCAGUAAAUUGCGGCCGCACUUCUCCAGGACCCUCAGCGUGCGGCCCACCCAUUGCGGGCACUGCGGGUCAUUAGCGGCUAAUUAAUGCCUCGUUAGGCGCUCGCCAGCCUCUGCCCGCCCCCCCUUAGGUCCUAAUAGCCCCUUCUUACCCGCUAACGGCCACCGAUCGGCCCCUAAUUGGCCUCAAUGAGCUCCUAAUAACCCCCUAUUAGCCUCUAAUGAUCCCCAUUGGCAUCGAAAGCCCCUAAUGACCCCCAAUUAGCCGCUAAUGACCCCUUAUUAAUCCCUAAUGAUGCCUUGUAAGGCAUCAAUGACUCUCAUUAGUAUCUAGCGACCCUCAAUUUGCUCCUGAUGACCCCCAAUUAGCCCCUAAUAAACCCCAGUUAGCUUCUAAUGAUUCCCAAUUAGCCCAUAGCGUUACUUUAUUAGCUUCUAAUGACACCCCUUAUCUCCUUAUUGUCUUCUAAUGACCCCAAUUAGUCGCUAAUAAUUCCCAAUUCACCCCUACUUAGUCCUAUUAGCACCUAAUCACCCUCUAUUAACCCCUUAUGACUGCCUAUUAGUCUCCAAUGACUCCCAUCAACAUCUGAUUACCCCCUAUCAUCCCUAAUUAGCCCCUGAUUACCGAUUUCCCCAUAAUUACCCACAAUUAGCC
ensembl:lncRNA